rnacentral:rRNA from 1 species
CCUACGGGGGGCAGCAGUGAGGAAUAUUGGUCAAUGGGCGGAAGCCUGAACCAGCCAAGUCGCGUGAGGGAAUAAGGCCCUACGGGUCGUAAACCUCUUUUGCCGGGGAGCAAGGGCGGGGACGUGUCCCCGGAUGAGUGUACCUGAAGAAAAAGCAUCGGCUAACUCCGUGCCAGCAGCCGCGGUAAUACGGAGGAUGCGUGCGUUAUCCGGAUUUAUUGGGUUUAAAGGGUGCGCAGGCGGAGGUGCAAGUCAGCGGUCAAAUUGCGGGGCUCAACCCCGUACUGCCGUUGAAACUGCAUCCC